rnacentral:rRNA from 1 species
AGCAGCCGCGGUAAUUCCAGCUCCAAUAGCGUAUAUUAAAGUUGUUGCAGUUAAAAAGCUCGUAGUUGAACUUCGGGGUUCCCCCAUUGGUCAGGCUUAACUGUCUGUACUGGUGGGAGGGAUUCUUACCUUCUGAGGAAUCUCCAUGCCAUUAAUUUGGUGUGGUGGGGAAUCAGGACUAUUACUUUGAAAAAAUUAGAGUGUUUAAAGCAGGCUCACGUCUGAAUACAUUAGCAUGGAAUAAUGAAAUAGGACGGCUUGGUUCUAUUUUGUUGGUUUCUAGGAUCACCGUAAUGAUUAAUAGGGAUAGUUGGGGGCAUUAGUAUUCAAUUGUCAGAGGUGAAAUUCUUGGAUUUAUUGAAGACUAACUACUGCGAAAGCAUUUGCCAAGGAUGUUUUCAUUAAUCAAGAACGAAAGUUAGGGGAUCGAAGACGAUCAGAUACCGUCGUAGUCUUAACCAUAAACUAUGCCGACUAGGGAUCGGACGAAGUUAAUUUUUAAAUGACUCGUUCGGCACCU